rnacentral:rRNA from 1 species
CCCUUAGACGUUCUGGGCCGCACGCGCGCUACACUGACCAGUGCAACAAGCAUCCGUCCUUGGCCGACAGGCCCGGGCAAUCUUUGAACGCUGGUCGUGAUGGGGAUAGACUUUUGCAAUUUUUGGUCUUCAACGAGGAAUUCCUAGUAAACGCAAGUCAUCAACUUGCAUCGAUUACGUCCCUGCCCUUUGUACACACCGCCCGUCGCACCUACCGAUUGAAUGGUCCGGUGAAGCCUCCGGAUUGGCGCGCACCUCGGUGCCGCCGAGAAGUUGGCUAAACCUUACCAUUUAGAGGAAGGCGAAGUCGUANCA